CAUCUCUUUACAUGGACAUAUAUAAAUUUCUAUUCCAUGCUUUCAACUUUAGAUCUUGUUUUUCCGAAGAGAUUUAAUAUGAUGAACUAGAUUGUUGCAGACACAAAGACAGUGAGGACUCGGUGAUCGUAGACGUAAUCUAUUAUCUCAGGUGUGAUCAUCGCUUAAGGGAAGACUUGGAUGGAUGGUUGCAAGGAUUGUAGGGAAGACUUGGAUGGAUGGUUCGAGGGAUUAAAGACGCACAUGGAUUUUCUUUAAAAGUUUAAAUUGUUUUGUACAAUAUUUCGAAUUUUUGAAAUAAUGUAAGUUUUAUAAUUUAGGGAAUGAUGUUCU
rnacentral:lncRNA from 1 species